rnacentral:rRNA from 1 species
AUUGAACGCUGGCGGCAUGCUUUACACAUGCAAGUCGAACGGUAACAGGCCGCAAGGUGCUGACGAGUGGCGAACGGGUGAGUAAUGCAUCGGAACGUGCCCAGUCGUGGGGGAUAACUACUCGAAAGAGUAGCUAAUACCGCAUACGAUCUAUGGAUGAAAGCGGGGGACCGUAAGGCCUCGCGCGAUUGGAGCGGCCGAUGUCAGAUUAGGUAGUUGGUGGGGUAAAGGCUCACCAAGCCAACGAUCUGUAGCUGGUCUGAGAGGACGACCAGCCACACUGGGACUGAGACACGGCCCAGACUCCUACGGGAGGCAGCAGUGGGGAAUUUUGGGCAAUGGGCGCAAGCCUGAUCCAGCAAUGCCGCGUGCAGGAAGAAGGCCUUCGGGUUGUAAACUGCUUUUGUACGGAACGAAACGGCUCUGGUUAAUACCCGGGGCUAAUGACGGUACCGUAAGAAUAAGCACCGGCUAACUACGU